GAUGAACGCUAGCGGCAGGCCUAACACAUGCAAGUCGAGGGGUAGAAGGCUUCGGCCUUUGAGACCGGCGCACGGGUGCGUAACGCGUAUGCAAUCUGCCUUACACUGGGGGAUAGCCCAGAGAAAUUUGGAUUAAUACCCCAUAGUAUUUUUGCCUGGCAUCAGGUGAUUAUUAAAGUUUUUCGGUGUAAGAUGAGCAUGCGUCCCAUUAGCUAGUUGGUAUGGUAACGGCAUACCAAGGCAAUGAUGGGUAGGGGUCCUGAGAGGGAGAUCCCCCACACUGGUACUGGGACACGGACCAGACUCCCACGGGAGGCAGCAGUGAGGAAUAUUGGUCAAUGGGCGAGAGCCUGAACCAGCCAUGCCGCGUGCAGGAUGAAGCAUCUAUGGUGUGUAAACUGCUUUUGUACGGGAAGAAACACCUCUACGUGUAGAGGCUUGACGGUACCGUAAGAAUAAGGAUCGGCUAACUCCGUGCCAGCCGCCGCGGUAA
rnacentral:rRNA from 1 species